UGAGCGUGGGAACCUGGUGGGUAGUAGUCAAGCGAUGGGGUGACGCAGGAAGGUAGCUGAUCCCGGCCGGUGGUUGUGCCGGGGUAAGCGUGUAGGCCGGUGUGUAGGCAAAUCCGCACACCAUGAAGGCUGAGACGUGAUGCCGAGCCGAUUCAGGUGAAGUCAGUGAUCCUAUGCUGCCGAGAAAAGCCUCUAGCGAGUUCUUAGCGGCCCGUACCCCAAACCGACACAGGUGGUCAGGUAGAGAAUACCAAGGCGACGGGCGAACUGUGGUUAAGGAACUCGGCAAAUUACCCCCGUAACUUCGGGAGAAGGGGGGCCGGACACGUGAAGCAACACGCUUGUGGAGCGUGGUAUGGCCGCAGAGACCAGGGGGAAGCGACUGUUUACUAAAAACACAGGUCCAUGCGAAGAAGUAAUUCGAUGUAUAUGGACUGACGCCUGCCCGGUGCUGGAACGUUAAGGGGACCUGUUAGCUCUUCGGGGCGAAGCGGAGAACUUAAGCGCCAGUAAACGGCGGUGGUAACUAUAACCAUCCUAAGGUAGCGAAAUUCCUUGUCGGGUAAGUUCCGACCUGCACGAAUGGCGUAACGACUUCCCUACUGUCUCAACCACAGGCCCGGCGAAAUUGCAGUACGAGUAAAGAUGCUCGUUACGCGCGGCAGGACGGAAAGACCCCGGGACCUUUACUAUAGCUUGACAUUGGUAUCUGAGUUAAUUUGUGUAGGAUAGGUGGGAGCCUGUGAAGCUCGUACGCCAGUACGGGUGGAGGCAAUCUUGAAAUACCACUCUGGUUGAUUCGGGUAUCUAACUUCGGACCGUGAUCCGGUUCAGGGACAGUGUCUGGUGGGUAGUUUAACUGGGGCGGUUGCCUCCUAAAGAGUAACGGAGGCGCCCAAAGGUUCCCUCAGCCUGGUUGGCAAUCAGGUGUUGAGUGUAAGUGCACAAGGGAGCUUGACUGUGAGACUGACAGGUCGAGCAGGGACGAAAGUCGGGACUAGUGAUCCGGCACCGGCAUGUGGAAGCGGUGUCGCUCAACGGAUAAAAGGUACCCCGGGGAUAACAGGCUGAUCUUCCCCAAGAGUCCAUAUCGACGGGAUGGUUUGGCACCUCGAUGUCGGCUCGUCGCAUCCUGGGGCUGUAGCAGGUCCCAAGGGUUGGGCUGUUCGCCCAUUAAAGCGGUACGCGAGCUGGGUUUAGAACGUCGUGAGACAGUUCGGUCCCUAUCCGCCGUGCGCGUAGGAUACUUGAGAAGGGCUGUCCCUAGUACGAGAGGACCGGGACGGACGAACCUCUGGUGUGCCAGUUGUCCCGCCAGGGGCACGGCUGGUUAGCUACGUUCGGAAGGGAUAACCGCUGAAAGCAUCUAAGCGGGAAGCUCGCUUCAAGAUGAGGUAUCCCACCCACACUUGUGAGGGGUAAGGCCCCCAGCUAGACCACUGGGUUGAUAGGCAGGAAAUGUAAGCCCGGUAACGGGUUCAGUUGACCUGUACUAAUAGGCCGAGGACUUGACAU
rnacentral:rRNA from 1 species